CCGAAUAAUUUUCAAACCUAAAGUCAGUGCGGACAGCAAUAAAGCAAUUUGAUUGCUUGUUGUGCAGACACACCCAUGUGACACUGCCUUUCCCUGAUUGCUUUAUUCAUUCAAGAUAUGCCAAAAGCAUACAUUGUAUUUUUUUACUUUUUCUUUCAUUGUUUCAAUAUUAAUCGACAAUUCUUCUCAAUAAUUUGUGGGAGUUCUUGAAGAACCCUUCUUCUUUUUUGUAAUUUCAUUGUGAGCAAAGGUGAUAUUUUGAUUGUAGAAGGGUGAACAAGUAAUUAGACCCAUCUCAUAUAAUUAAGAGCAAGUUUUGAGAGUGCAGAGGCCUUCACAUCUCUCUGGGUUUUCCUCAUUGUAUGUUUCUGAGUCUUUGAAUUCUUCAUUUCCAAAGAAAAGAUGGUUGUGGUGGAGGCAUUCUGUCGUCCGUGUUUGAGGUGGUGCUGGACAAGCUGGUGGCUACCCCUUUGUUAGAGUAUGCACGUCUCAUAUAAAAUUCAAUGCUUGAGGGUGUAUGUCUUGCUUUUAUCUGCGCUCAUUACUUAUUCAUUCAGGUGCAGUGAAACAGAGGGAACAAAUGGAAGAUUCUGUUCAGUAAAGUUUACGUACUCAAAUCAUCCGUUCACGAAUAUUACAGUUCAGACUCUAUGGUAUAUUCAGAUGUAAUGGAGGGUUCAACAAAAUGUGUUCAUAGCUGCAGGGGUCCUGUUUUCAGUUAAGCACAAGGAAUGAUCACAACACCUUAAUGCUCGUCUAUCAUUGGUUAUGUUGGAGU